rnacentral:lncRNA from 1 species
CUUCCAUGCUGUGGAGGCUCUGUUGUUUCGCUCUUUCUACUGCUUACUCUUCGGGUCCACACUGCUUUUAUGAGCUGUAACACUCACCCUGAAGGUUUGCAACUUGACUCCUGAAGCCAGCAAGACCACGAGCCCCAGGGAGGAACGAACAACUCCAGACGCGCUGCCUUAAGAGCUGUAACACUCACCGAGAAGGUCUGCAGCUUCACUCCUGAGCCAGCGAGGCCACGAACCCACCAGAAGGAAGAAACUCUGAACACAUCCGAACAUCAGAAGGAACAAACUCCAGACGUGCCACCUUAAGAGCUGUUAACACUCACCGCGAGGGUCCGCGGCUUCAUUUUUGAAGUCAGUGAGACCAAGAACCAACCAAUUCGGGACACAAUACCAACUCUUUCAUGCCAGGAGAAGCCUCCUUAAAAAAUUUCGGUGAUUAACAGCAGCACAUGGGUCAAAAUCUCCUGAAAGUUGAGCAGGGGAGCUGUAGAAGAAUUCCUCCUUUUCUCGCAGAUGAAAUCUUAUGAUAUAGCAGGGGUUACCUGGCCAAGAAGGUAAGUCUGUCAUCCAGCAGUGCUUGCAGAGGGACUAAAAUGAAUUAGGAUGUUCAGAGUUGUAUGUUAGGUGCUGCAGAAAGGAAGAAAAGAUCUCAUCCAUAAAGGGGUCUUUGACCCUGGGGAAUGGCAGUUGGCAAUUACGCUGCUUCUCAGUUCCAUCCUGUGUUGCCCCAGGUUUACUUCAUGGUCACCCAAACUUUCUUUGCCAUGUCUUUUGUAAGACUUCUACUUAUUACUAUGUAUCAUCAUCUUUUGGUAAAUAUAAAUUCUGGCUAGGAGAACUAGGACAGACAGGGGAGCUGUCUGCACACUGUGAUUAGGCAUGCAUCAAUUCAGAGCUCCAUGCUGCUAGCUCCUGUAUUCUGCUGAGCUCCCAGGGAGGAAAUAGGAAAAGGGAGGAGAACUCACCUGUCCAAUUACAACCUACUCUGCAGUACAAAGUACUGCAAAUUCCACACAGUGGAUCUCUGUGAUUGAAGGAGCACUUGUAAAAUCUGAGACAUCCUAGUUUUUGAUUUGGUAUCCAAAACAAAUCUGAACUUUUAAUUAAAUAUUGUUCUUUUUCCUUCUUGUUUCCAAAUGAAUAGUUACACCAGCAAACUUAUUGGCUGAAAAGUUGUUUCCUACAUUUGCACUUUGAAGUGCAUCAGACAGUGGUGUGUUUGGAUGUGGGUCUUGUUGAGUUUGGUUAGUGAGUUAUUAUUGGUUGGGAUUGCAGUGGUCCUGCCAAUGGAAGAGAAGUAGGUGUGCCGAGUACUGUCAUGUUCACCUCCGCCUUUCACAGAGGCAUAUUUAGCCCUCAGUUGGUAAGUGAACUUUUUGACAAAGGUUUAAGAGGUCGUAGAGUCUGUGUAAAAGACAAAAGUCCAAAAGUGAAGCAGAAGGAAUCCAGCUUCUUAUUUAUGUCUGGCAUGGGAAGCUUCUGGAUUUGAUAGUGGGUGCACCGAAAUUUGCAUCCCAAGUCAUAGCCUUUGCUCUGCCCUACCUUCUGGUAUGUUGUUUUUCAAGUUACUUAACCUCUCAGGGCUGCAACUUACUUAUUUGAAAAAUGAAUUCUAGAAUCACAGAGUUGGAUACAAUCUUAAGGGCCAAUUAGUCAAACUUUCUUUCCAGAGGUAUUCUGCAUGAUCUGAAAUGUGUCUCUGAACUAUAGCUUCCUGAAAUUUCAUUAUUCUUGUAGGAACACAGAGGAGAACAAAGAAAAUUCAAGGAACUAAAUUCCUUCUCCACCUCAACCACCAGCAUUGAUACUCCAUCACUUAUGUACUGCAUCAAGCCGUCCUCAGAGGUGAGGAAGGUGCUGUCAAGACUAGAAGCAUGUGUCCCUCUCUCCAUUGCAAGAUGGGACAUAGAGAGGAGAAAAGUGGCAGACAGAAGUCUUAGGUAUGUCUUUAUCAGCAGCAUGAAAAUGGACUAAUACAGGGACCAAUGAUUGCAUCUACCUCAUGGACUUUUUAUGAGAAUUGACUGAUUUAAUAAAUGUAAAAGACUUAGAACACUGCCUCAUCUAUUGUAAACAGUCAAUAAAUAUUAGUAUCAAUUUUCAUUGAAUCCUAAUCAGUAUAACUAUAAUGUUACAUUCAUGAAUAAGACAAAGGCUGGGACAAAAUAAAUGAGACACUUCACUCAGACCUCUUCAUUGUUUUCCC